AACGAACGCUGGCGGCGUGCCUAAUACAUGCAAGUCGAACGAGAAAGCGUAGCAAUACGUUAGUAAAGUGGCAGACGGGUGAGUAAUACAUAGGUAAUCUACCUUCGAGAUGGGGAUAACCUUCGAAGGAGGGCUAAUACCGAAUGAGACCACAGAGAUUAAUUUCUCAGGGGUUAAAGGUGACCUCUAUUUAUAAGUUAUCGCUUGAAGAUGAGCUUAUGCACCANCAGCUAGUUGGUA
rnacentral:rRNA from 1 species